UACGUAGGGUGCGAGCGUUGUCCGGAAUUAUUGGGCGUAAAGAGCUUGUAGGCGGUUUGUCGCGUCUGCUGUGAAAUCUCAAGGCUCAACCUUGAGCUUGCAGUGGGUACGGGCAGACUAGAGUGUGGUAGGGGAGACUGGAAUUCCUGGUGUAGCGGUGAAAUGCGUAGAUAUGUGGAGGAACACCGAUGGCGAAGGCAGCCCCCUGGGCUAACACUGACGCUCAUGCACGAAAGCGUGGGGAGCAAACAGG
rnacentral:rRNA from 1 species